rnacentral:rRNA from 1 species
UGCCAGCAGCCGCGGUAACACGGGGGGCGCAAGCGUUAUUCGGAAUUAUUGGGCGUAAAGCGCGUGUAGGCGGUUCGUUAAGUCUGAUGUGAAAGCCCGGGGCUCAACCCCGGAAGUGCAUUGGAAACUGGCGAACUUGAGUACGGGAGAGGAAAGUGGAAUUCCGAGUGUAGGGGUGAAAUCCGUAGAUAUUCGGGAGGAAUACCGGUGGCGAAGGCGACCACCUGGCCAGAUACUGACGCUGAGGUGCGAAAGCGUGGGGAGCAAACAGGAUUAGAUA